rnacentral:rRNA from 1 species
GACGAACGCUGGCGGCGUGCUUAACACAUGCAAGUCGAACGGUGAAGGGGUCUGCUUUUGUGGGCCCUGGAUGAGUGGCGCACGGGUGAGUAACACGUGAGUAACCUGCCCCCUUCUUCUGGAUAACCGCAUGAAAGUGUGGCUAAUACGGGAUAUUCUGGGUCUGUCGCAUGAUGGGUCUGGGAAAGAUUGCGCCUUUGGGUGUUUUUGGUGGGGGAUGGGCUCGCGGCCUAUCAGCUUGUUGGUGGGGUGAUGGCCUACCAAGGCGGUGACGGGUAGCCGGCCUGAGAGGGUGGACGGUCACACUGGGACUGAGACACGGCCCAGACUCCUACGGGAGGCAGCAGUGGGGAAUAUUGCACAAUGGGCGCAAGCCUGAUGCAGCGACGCCGCGUGAGGGAUGGAGGCCUUCGGGUUGUAAACCUCUUUCGCCAGUGAAGCAGGCCUGCUCCUUGUGGGUGGGUUGACGGUAGCUGGAGAAGAAGCGCCGGCUAACUACGUG